ensembl:processed_transcript Gm14261 predicted gene 14261
AGUCGGAAAUCAAAGAUGGCUGGAGGUCAGGCCCCGAAAGGUUAGGGCGAGGACCGGCAGCAGGCGCCGUAGCCCCCGGGAAAGGCGGAAAGAAAAAAAAAAAGUACGGAAUCCCCAUUCCAGAAUCGGUUCCCGGAACCCGCGCCCUCGAGGGACGCGCGGCAGUGCUGGGAGCGCCCUCCCGGGACGCACGGACAGUCGGGCGCACGGACGUGGCCGCAGCCGCACUCACCGGGUUCCUCCGCCGCCGGCGCCUCGGCGAGGUCCGGGCUCGGUUGCUGCUGAGGCUGCUCGCCCUGGCCCUCCUCCCAGUUGAUGUGCUGGGGCUUCGCCUGCUUGCGCCUCGACAUGGUGCGCGCAUUGGGGCGCCGGGAAGAGCCCUGGUGACUUGCCCCCUCUCCGCCACCAAUUCCUGGAGUUGGGAAAUUUUAGACCCCUUCGGCCGAAACGCGCAUGUCCCAGUAAUUAUUAUUAUCAAUAAUGCAUUGCGAUUUAUCAUGAGCUCUGACAGCUGAUUGGCCUGGGUCCAAGACCUCAGAGAUCAUUUAAAUAAGCCCUCAUUGAUCAGGGAGGGGAGAGGCAUGCUGGGCCUUGUAGUCCGGCCCUACAUGUGACAAAGGCGUGUUCAUCUAGGAAGCAUAGCUAAUUAGCAUCCGGGCUCAGAUUGGCCGAGGCGUGGAUCGACUUGGAGGUGGGGGAAUCAUCCUUGUGGCCACUAUCCGAAUUCUGGGACGGAAAAAGGAAAAUUGGUUUAUUGAAAACCAGGGCUGAACAUAAAAGUUCUAGAACCGAUGUAUCUCGGUUACGCGCUCCACAAAAUUAUUGUAGUAAUUGGCGUAGUUGAUAACUACCAGCUGAGAAAGGUCUUUCCGCUCACAGAAAAAUAAGUCGGUUCAACUUUUCCCUCUAAAAUCAAACCUGAACGAGAGACUCGAGUACCUUUUCAAUUUUCUUUUUACGGAAAUGUUAAAACUGCGUUUUGAAGUGGCCGGUGGUACCUUCUGUCCAUCCCACCUCCCCAUCCUACCUAAUUUCAAGCUCUUCAUACCCACCAGGGUUUGCAUCCUUAAAAUGCUGAGUAAUACUCGCGGGAUUCAUAUUCACGAGCCAGGAUUUGUUGUAAACUUCCUGGAUUUUCGAAAACACUUCUAAACCACUGUCCGCUAACUGUAGAAAAGGCAGAUUAAAAGCAAACUUGCUAGAAAUGAUUCCAGAAUAGCAAGUGGUUGCAGAUUCUAUCCCUAAAGCUGUUCGGGGCUCCCAAAAAGUACGAGGGUGUUUGUACUUAACUGCUUUCUAAGACACUCUGCAAUACAAAACUGUUUUACAGAAAAGCCACUUCCUUCUGAGGUUGUAUGGUCCUGAUUCAGGAAUGCCUAGAAUUUUCUAAAAGGGUGUGUAUGGAUAUAAAAAUUUAUUUCUCAAAUC